UACGAAGGGGGCGAGCGUUGUUCGGAUUUACUGGGCGUAAAGGGCGCGCAGGCGGCGCAUUUUGUCAGGCGUGAAAGCCCCGGGCUUAACCUGGGAACUGCGUUUGAUACGGAUGGGCUAGAGUUCGGGAGAGGAGAGUGGAAUUCCCAGUGUAGAGGUGAAAUUCGUAGAUAUUGGGAAGAACACCGGUGGCGAAGGCGGCCAUCUGGCUCGGUACUGACGCUCAGGUUCGAAAGCGUGGGGAGCAAACAGG
rnacentral:rRNA from 1 species